rnacentral:rRNA from 1 species
GACAGAGGCCUCGAGCGUUAGGCGGAAUCACUGGGCUUAAAGCGUGUGUAGGCGGGCCCGUAAGUACCUUGUGAAAUCCCACGGCUCAACCGUGGAACGGCUGGGUAUACUGCGGGUCUUGGGCCAACUAGGGGCAGCCGGAACAAGCGGUGGAGCGGUGAAAUGCGUAGAUAUCGCUUGGAACGCCGAAGGUGAAAACAGGCUGCUGGGGUUGCGCCGACGCUGAGACACGAAGGCCAGGGGAGCAAACGGG